UAUGGUAAAUGGUAAAUGGCCUGUAUUUGAUGUAGCGCCUUCUAGAGUCCUGGAACCCCUCAAGGCGCUUUACAACACAAUCAGUCAUUCACCCAUUCACACACACAUUCACACACUGAUGGUGAUGAGCUACGAUGUAGCCACAGCUGCCCUGAGGCGCACUGACAGAGGUGAGGCUGCCGAGCACUGGCGCCACCGGUCCCUCCGACCACCACCAGCAGUCGACAUGGGUUAAGUGUCUUGCCCAAGGACACAACGACAGCGACAGACUGAGCGGGGCUCGAACCUGCAACCUUCCGAUUACGGGGCGAGCACUUAACUCCUGUGCCACCGUCGCCGCAUAUAUACACACAUAUGCCCCAGAUAGGGCAGUAUGUUGGAGUUAGCCUGGCCACAAAAGGCUUGCUUCCUUACAUCUUUGGGUCGGGAAGCGGGUCAUGACUGUUUGGGUGGGAUUGGGAGGAACAACCCGUCUGACCUAAACCUGGUGUUUGUCUGUAACGAACACCAUGUUCAAACAUAAGGAGUUCAUCAGUACACAUGGUACCAGGGCAGCUUAGGUCAAAGGUUGGUGAUCGGCCGUAUGUUCCAGGCACUCAGAAGAAGAGUAGAGUUAGGUUAGGAAAUGAAGGGUGAAUAGGGAUUCAUACAUCCUCUCCAUCACAUUCCCACAGCUAUGAGAAAUAAUGUUUAUUAUUCUUUAUGCAUAUUUUCACAGGUUUUAUUGCUGUAAUGUCUCCUGCUGUUUCAGGAUCUUAAAACCAGCCCUAACCAACAAUAUUAACAUUUAUAUUGCUGUAAAAACCGAGGGGCAGAUCUAUAAUCCUAAUGACAGUGUUAAGCACCAAUUAACGAAGCCUAAAGAGGUCAUUCAUAAACAGUAAUUCAGCCGAAGCUUUAAGGAUUCGGCCGAGUCCAUAAACACGCCUGUUCUGGACAGGGAACGUGUUGGAAGGAAGGGAUGAUAGAAACAGAACCGUUACUCUUUUACCUUCUGUCUCCUCCAUCAGAACGGGGCGGAGCGCGAGCUGCUGUUCCUUCCACAGCUUCUUCUCUAACAGAACGAUCUGUUCGUCUGUGUGUGUGUGUGUGUUUGCACGCAUGUGAAUGUGUGUGUAUGUUUGCGUGCAUGCAUGUGUGUGUGCACGCGUGUGUUUGUGUGUGUUUGCACGCGCGUGUGUGUGUGUGUGUGUGUGUGUGCAGUAAAUUACUUUAGAUUACAGUAGAAAUGUCGUCAUUCUCAUCAGAAUUACUAAUAAAUACUAAUAAAAGCAUUUUUAUUGUUUUUUGUAGAUUAGCAUUUCUGGAUUAGCCAUUAGCUAAUCCGGUUGAGGACUGACUGAGGCUGUUCUAGAGUUAGCUGCAGGAUAAAAUUUCCACUGGAACCUUCUUCAGGAGUUCUUUCUUUUGAUUUAAUCUUAUUUUGACUAUAAAUAUAGCUGUUAUCCACUCUUUCCCGCUUUGAACUGAUCUGAUUUGUGGAUAACGACGGUGGCGUGACGCUGAGAUGGAUUCCUCACACUCUCUGGAGCUAAGUGAUGAAGAGGCGGUAGGUGGAGAGCUGCAGUCAGCUGUCAGACUCCAUCAUCUUCUCACCCAACCAAGGCCGGACCAGCUUCUUAGGAGUAAUGUUUUACACGGAAAAACUAAUAUUUCAGUCACAUCUGCAGUUUGUCCUUGAACAAAGAAGCUCAGGAAAACAAAUCAUCGAUCUUCCCAGAGCAAAGCCCAGUGCCUCGCUGUUUAUGAACGUGGCUGAAGAGACGGUACACAGCCAGAGCCGAGAGUUCAUCAGACGUGUGGAAUCCUACAUGGGCUGGCCUCACUCCAACAUCACGCAGUCUGCACGUGUAACAUGGAAAACCGGAGGAGUGAGAGGAUGUGGGAGAGGAGAGAGCUCUGGGCUGAGUCUCCUCCUGUCCUUGUUUGUCUCUCCACUCUACAGCCUCAUUGGUUAAAAUGUCAAGAGCAUCAGUUAUCACAGACAGCAGAGUCAUGCUGGGCCUUUUAGGACAAGGGCACCUUUAUCAGGAUUGGUAUUCUGCCUUCACAGAGAUGGGUCUAAUCAUGGAGCAUCUGUGUCCUCUGAGCCCUCAGAGCCGCGCCUCUGGCACGUUGAAGGAAGAAAAGAUGUUAUCAGGGAGGAAAAAUGUCUUGGAUAAUUAUUCAGAUUAAACAAAAGUGUUUAUUUAAAAUUCCUGAGAGUGAAAACCUGCACAGAUUUCUUUGGCGUUGUUUUCUGAUGUGGUGUUUAAGAGUUGAUGUCGCUAAUAGAGAGUACGUGUCUGCACAAGCAGUAACUGGCACAAGUCUUAAAGCGAUAGAACCAAGAUCAACAGGAACGUCAAAGCUGCUAUCAGUAGCUCAGCGGGGUUGCCAUGGUAACCACAUAUGUUUCAAAUACAGAUGAGGGUUUUAAUUCCAAACUAAGAGGAAAAAACGGCCAGAAGUAAAGCAAAGAUCCCCCUAAGCCCCACGUUAACGUCACAGCAGACAUAAACGUGUUUACAGCCUGGUUCAUAAAAAGGUUUUAGGUUGAAUAGAUCUGGUUUAGACCUUUUACCUCAUCUGUUUAGAUGUAUUUAAACCUGAGAUUCGAGGUGUGUCCUUGUCAUUGACAGGUAUCAGAUGUGUCAUCAGCUGGUGGUGGAGGGAACCGCCCACAGGGCUUCAGUUCAGAAACCUACGGGCGACGGCGCGGAGGUCAAAACCUCAGUCUAUGGUUCCAAAUCACUUAUUAGUCACAUUAUUAAGUUAUUUAAAAAAAUAAUUUUUAAAUUCAUCAUGAAAUCAGCUGAAAUAAUGUGAUUCUAAACGCAGGAAUUUCCUUUUGUUCAGUCCUCGCAUGAGUCUGAGAGCCGUCUGUAGUUUGGCAGAAGGCAGCAGCAGGUAGCGUUUGUGUUUGAUCCGUAACAAAGGACUGACACCUGUUCUUCUCCCUGAACAACUCCAAGAUCCAGAGCACAAUAGAUGGUUGUUGCCCACGCAGCUCCCGGGAGCCGCGGCGCUUGUUUUUCCUGUAAACUGGAGGUCAGAAAACACAUCACACAUUGGUCUUCAGAGGAAACUUGAACACAAACAGACUCUGCUUCUCUUUUCUCCCGGUGUCUGCAGCCAUCAGUGUCCCAGUCACGAACACCUCACCUCCGAGACCUGAGAGGCCCGACCCCUCCAUUCCAACUCGUUUUCUUCACAGCCAUCAGUGUUUUUAUUAAAUGUCAAGCAGCUACAAUCAACCGUUUUCUGCUGCAGAAGUCCUCACAAAAGGAGCUGCAGCAGCGGGACUCGGCCUAUAAUUUAGAUUUCAUUAUGAUAGCAGCUCAGGUACAGUAGAAGGUAAGAGGCGGUUUUCUGAAGAUGGUGGAAACAUGAUGGAUCGCCAAGGAAAGACCCAGAGGAGACGGAUUUAACAGAUAACAACCAGCCGGGCCGGAUGAUAAUGAACUCCCAAAAAGGUUCCUUGUUAAAAAAAGAAGUGAGUUGUGUUUGAGAGCAUAAAAAGAGUGCUUGGAGUGGAUAAAAGAUGGAUUCAAAUGUAAAUGGAUGGGUCGGUGAGGACCACAGAGGAUGAAAAAUGAGGCGGUGAUGAGGAUGACCAUUAGAGAAAACACUCGUGAUGAAGAGUCGAAGCUGAUGUAAUAAAGAUGACAUCAUUCAAACAGCAGGAUAAAGCUUAAACCCACACGAUCGGAACGUUUAUCCCAGAUGUGUUCUUUACAUCCAGAUGUGAUCAGCAGCAUCCAGCUGUUAGUUAGACCUCGUUAAUCCGCUGCAUCUGAUCACCGAAGCCUUUCAGCACGACCCGUUUCCGCUGUGAGGAACUUUCCAGAAUCUGAGUGACACGGAAGAACAGCGUCCACAGCUUUAGAUUCAUGUCACCUAAAUCAUGUAAUGCCGUUUACUUUCAGCUGAUUAACAGAGACAAAAAGUCCCAGUUUUAGCUUUGGGAAGUGUUUGAUGGAAUUAUGAAGCUGAGCAGACUCAUUAGGUUUAAUCUACAGGAUGUGAAAGUGUUCAUUCACGGGUUUUAAAGGCUGUAAUUAUCCUUUUGGAAUAUCCUGAUCCUGUAGAGUUGUUUUCUGAGAUUCUCUCCGGAAUAAUGUAUGUUCAUUUCUGUAAAACAGUUUCUGUAGUUUUUGUCUCAGAUCUGUGCAGAUGAGAUGGUAGAAAGAGGGCAAAACACACUGGUGGUAUAUGACAUGAUGGGGAUAUUUAUUUAUCCCUAGCACAGGAUCUCCAGGCUCCUGCAGCAGCUCUUUUCUGCUUUUAUAACAGUGCUGCCUGAUUGGUUCAAAUGACCGAUUGUUUUGUUCUUGUCUGUGUUUUAAAAACACGUUUCUCUGAUUUUCAUCCUAAAAGGCGUGAUGGGCUUUACUUUUUAUUCUGUAUUGAAUCUAAAAUGAUGAAAGUGGCACUGUGAGAAAAGAAAAACGAAAAAUCCUGUUUUUAACAUAUUAGUCAAUAUUGAUAUAAACCAUGAUAAGAAACAAAUAACUGGUUUUAGGUUAGUUAAAGGUCUAAAUUAGACCAUAUCAUCAAAUAUUUCAUAAAUUUUCAAAUAGAAAAAUAAAAUAAGUUUAUUUAGAAGGGAUGGUCCACCUCAAAAUGAAAUGUCGUCUGUUGCCAUGUUCCCCAUAGUUAGCUUUAUAAUUGUUUAUGCUAAGCUAAAGGAGGGCUGCCGGUUCUGCUUACGAAUAGUUUUAUUCACAUAUCUAACUAAGUAGAACAUAUCAGCAGACAACACUUUACUUUGGGGUGGCAUGUCCCUUUAAACUAAAAGACUUCAGCAUCAGAGGAGAAAUGGACAAUUUCUGCUGUUGACGUCAGAUAAAUAAAACAUUUAUUGAUGGAUACAUUUUAGAAAUCUAUGCAUGUUUAUAUUAAAGAAUAUUUUUGUGUCCUACUUCAAACAUUUUAGGCUUAGCUCAGAAUGUUGUCUUGAGUUCCUUUUUGUCCAUGCUUUUAUUUUGUAAUGAGGAUUUACCAACAAUAACUAAAUAACUAAAAGUUUUAGUUUUUUCCCCUUGCGGCUCAGAGUCGUUCCAGAAAAUAAUUUAUGCUGAAAACUAAAAACAAAACAGGACAAAAGAAAAUGAGACUGGACUCUGAGUGGCACUGACCAGUCAAACAAUCACAUAAUGUUUACUUUGUUCUCCAUGCUACGUGCUUGUUAUUUAUUUAUUUAUUUAUUUAUUUAUUUAUUUAUUCAUUUAUUUAUUCAUUUAUUCAUUCAUUUCUUUCUUUCUUUCUUUCUUUCUUUAUUUAUCUAUUUAUCUAUUUAUUUAUUUGCCUCCUGGUCUAUUUGAGCUGAGAUGAGCUACAGAAACUCCAACGACCGCCUAUUAAAGACGUAUUAAGUGAGGUGAGUAAAACAAAAAGCUGAUUUAUCCAGAAUAGUGAGGAAGAGGAGGAUAUGUUUACCUCCAUGACCUUCACUGAACAAGCUGGUACUACAUUUCCCCUCCACUCCUGUGAGUGGGCUCAUACUCCCUCUGAAGGGUUCUGCUGGAGGACUCCGGCGCUGGCCCACUUAAGAGCCGCUGGUGAUUUGGUUUCUGGGCUGCCGUUGAUCCCGGAGCGAUCUGAGCAUGCUCAGAUGUCAUCUGCGGCUCAUGUUGGACGAAGUCUGCAGCAAACCCAAAGGAGAAGGUCUGCAGGCUUUCCAGAAAUGUGCAGCAAACCCAUGCUUGUCUAGAAUCCUAAAUCCUCACAGAUCUCUGCACCGUGUGGAUUUAGACUCGGAGUGGAAGAGUUGGAAUUUCUCUCACACACUGAAGGAAACAUGGAAAGGAUGCAGACUUUGGAGUUGAAUGUUUCAGAAUGUUUGCUCACGUAUGUUGGUCUAAACACGUCAGUCGAGAGUUUAUUAAAGCGGGAAUAUUUUCCCUUAUUCUCGGAUCACCUUUUUACCCCCCCACCUCUGCUGUGGCUGCAUCGUAGCUCAUCACCACCAGCGUGUGAAGCACUUUGGGAGGUUGUAGAACCCCAGGGAGGCGCUACACAAAUCCAGGCCCGUCACCAUUUUAUGGUGGCCGCUGGCAGUCGGGUUGCAGUGCACAAGUGAAACUGAACGCUGCAGAAGCAGUGGCAACAACCAUCGUUGUUGAUGAAUGAUUUUCCAUCUGCUGCUGCUGCUGAAGUACAGUUCUUCAGAGUGACCCCUGGGUGGUGGACUGGGACAAACACAGCGGUACUCCAGCUUCCUGUGGGCCGGAGCUUCAGGCUCCAGCGCACCUGGCAGGUUUGUGAUCAGCUGCUUAAAUAUUCAUUCAUGUUCUUUUACAACAGAUCAUGAUAAAAAGCAUGAGGGUAGCACUCGUCAUUCCUGAAGCUGCUGCUGGUGGUCAGGAGCUGAUGCAGCCUACCUCAUUCCUGAUUGUCUCAUGGAUCCAGAACCGGGUCAGUCCGCGUAGAUCGAGCAGCAAAUCCAAAUGAGCCUUGAGAGGAAAGUGUUCUGGUUCUGUUACAGAUGAGUCAGGAUGUGAUCACAGGGGGUGGGGGCAUAGCCACCCCUCAGUGUGUGUGUGUGUGUGUGUGUGUGUGUGUGUGUGUGUGUGUGUGUGUGUGUGUGUGUGUGAAGGCCCGCGGGUCGUAUUGAUUCUGAAUAAUGCUCUGUGUCUCCUCCGACUGCUCACAUGCAUAAUUCUUCUUCAUUAUGUUUGGGAUCAGGAGCGUCGGGAUGUCCUUGAGUGGGAAAGGUCGGUGUUCCUCCCAGAAACGGGACCGGUUCUGGAUCAUUAUUGACCCAUUCUGUACAGAGUCAAUCAAAGCUUUAUAUAAACACAAUAAGCUGCUGUUGGAUCGGUUCUCUCAACACGACCAGCUGGUUUUUGUUCCACAGGAUUUUCUCUCAGUUUUUCUUUUUUUCUUUUUGCCAAAUUUCAUCUUUUUUCAGAAAAAUUUAACUAAUUUUUUUGACAUUUGACUAAAAAAGCUGAAAUCAUCUCUUCGUGUUGCUGAAUAAAUAAACUUUUGGAGCCGGUCCUGUGAUAAACAGGUUUGGGUCUUCAACACCUUGAGAGCUCCAGAAAACCUACAGAAGGAAGAAUUUCCGGUCACAUGAGUAAAGUAGGCCUUGAUCCUUCAUAGGACCACUGAAAAAACCAAAAGCUGCUUCAUUAACUCAGCGUCCAGCUGGUUUAGUGACCCGAGGCCCGUCUGUAACAAGUCACCUGUAGAAGCUCUGGGCCAACCAGGAUGCAGCAUUCCUGCCUCUCAUUUGGUGAUCCCAAUGGGAAAACUCAGCAGCAGGGUGCUCCAUCUUUAAUCAGAGCUUCAUUUGUAUUCCCAACAAUGGAAUAACUACGGAAUAACAAACAACAGAACAAUACCUUGCCACGCAAUCACGGUCAGCCGAAGUUUCUCCGUGUCUUCCCGCUGCAGAUCCUCCCUAUGCCGACUCUGCAGCAUGAUGAAAGGCUGCUGGUUCUGCUGCUCCGAGGUCCGUUUGAUGUUCCUGCACCCCAGGCUGAUUGUUUGAGAAGCCUAACUCGCGGAGCCAAUUGACCAUGUUGAAGUCGGGAUUCGUGACGCUGGAGCUCAAAUGGAGGCUGUAAAAGCUGCAGAUCGCGUGAUGAGGCUUCCAAAUGGAGCUUGUUCUGUGUGGUUCUGCUAAGUGGACCAAGUAAAGCUCCACAUGGACGAUAAAAACAGGAGAUAAAAGCUCUUCUUCUGGUUUAUGUUUGUGAUUAAACUCCUCAGAGCGUCAAAUGCAGCAGGUUUUACUGCAGUGUUUUAGAAAUCUGCUACAUUUUUAACCUCGAGAAGGAGAAGCUGCUCUCCAGCUUUACCUCCAGCCAGCCGGGACAGAUGGUCCAGCCUCUGGGUUCUGGUUCUGGACCUGCUAGUCCUCUGCAUCUGUUUGUCUGCCGACCGCGGCACAAAACAAAAGGUUCUGAGUCGCAGAGGGAAAUUUGAACUCAAACAAGGAAAUAGUCUGGAAAUUAGAGCCAGAACAAAAAAGAGCUCCCUCUGUUGGCUGGCUGCAGCACAAGCCUCGCCCCCUCCCUAAACAAAGCAUUCAGCUAAUAAUUACUUGUCUGGUUCUGGUACCAAACAGCACGUUAACAGAACUAGAGCUGAAACAACUAAUCGAUUUAAUCGAUUAUAAUCGAUUAUUAAAAUAGUUAACAACUUUUUUAGUCAUUGAUUAGUUGUUUAAUAAUCAUAUUUUACCGCAUAAAGUCUAUUUUUUACCACAAUCUGACAUCGUUACAAUCUGUUAAAUUUGCCGCCAGUGUGUGGCAGUAAUGAGCCACUGAUCUACCAGUGGGGCCGUAGAAGAAGAAAUUAACCAAUAAGUGCCCUCGGUUUUCAUGACGUAUCACGUUACUGACGCGCAUCUUGCUGUGAGAGAUGGCGGAUCAACAACAAAUACGGAAGAAAAAUAGAAGCGACAAAACAAGAGAAACCCCGGACAAAAACCUCACGAGUAUGGGAGCACUUCACUAGAUGCCUUGAAAAGACCGGUGACCUGCAAAAUAUGCAAAAACCAUGGCACGACGGAAGCACGACGUCCCUAAGUGAACAUUUGAGAUGAAAACAUGUGGGGGCUGAUGCAGCAGAGGAAAGUCCGAAAAAAACAAGCAACGAUGGACAACUACAUGGGGAACAAGACACUCACCCCCAGCAAUGCAUACCACUUACAAACUCUAUUCCAGAUUCUACAUUAUUUUUUAUGGAAUUUACCUCUUAUAUUUUGAUGCCAAAAAAUUAUUCUGGACAGAUAUUUUGCACUGUUUAGCUCAUUUUACACUGCUGACUGUGGUCAUGUGCAAUAAAAUAGAUUGCAGUCAACUGCACAAUUCUCUUAUGUUUUUCUUUUUCUUAACUGAAAUGUAUUCAUCACUUGUAUAGGUUAAAUAGCUAAACAAUAACAAACCGAUUAAUCGAUUAAUCGAAAAAAUAAUCGACAGAUUAAUCGAUUAUGAAAAUAAUCGUUAGUUGCAGCCCUAAACAGAACCUUCACUUUUCAACAAUAAACAAAUAAAAUUAAAUCCUAUUUUUUUAAAAGUAAAAGCGAUUUGUUUUGAGUCUGUUGCUUUAAGUAGUUGCAGAAACGGAGCGACGGCAAGCCGGAUGUGGAAAAACAAAACAAAGCUCUAAACAAUAAUAAAAACAAAACAGCAGGAAUGCCCCGACCUGCUUCCAGCUGGACGGGAGAUCUAAAGGAGGGGCAGAAAACUGGGAACCAAGGAAACAAAAUUUACAAAACAAGAACUGAAAUGAACUCAUCGUAAAUAAACGGAAUAAAUUCAACCUAAAA